rnacentral:lncRNA from 1 species
CUCUUUAGUCGCAAUUGCCAAUCCUCAAUUGCCUUCUAUACGCGUGUGUUAUGCUAAAAUGAGUGACAACAGCUCCCAAAUCAACACCUUAACUUUGAGCACCUAUAUCUCUUUUAUAUAAACUCCAAAUCAUAUAAACUUUGUACCAAAACCAUAGCCAAAAACCUAUACUUACUACUACUAGCCUCCAAAGCUCAAAUGGCCCC